ensembl:lincRNA
CUGGCAUAGUGGCACACGCUUGUAACCCCAGUGCUGGGGACACGGAGACAGGCUGGUAGAUCCUUGGGGCCCAUGGCUAGCCAGCCUAGAUACUUUGAGAGUUCCUGACCAACAGGGGAUGCUGUCUCCAAAUACAAGGUGGGUGACAGCUGAUGCUGUCCUCUGCAGCCCACAUGAACACACACGACAAGCACACAUAGGAACACAUAUACACUUGUACACAGAAAAGGCUCAGAGUGGUGAAUGCCAAGGUGAGUUAAAUACCAGGUGUCGUGCGAACACACUGCCAAGAGCUUGCCCCCUCAGCGAAAAGGGCUGGACCUUGAUGUUGCAAUCUUAAUCAGAUCAUCUAGUUGAGGGCACAGGGUCCUGACUGGGAGUAAGAAAUGGCUAUUCAGAGAAUUAGCUGGCUGCCACUUUUGGUCACCAGUCACUCCAGAGAGUGGUAUUAUUUUGCUUGUACAAAUAAAGUUUGUCCGAAGAUCAGAGGAUGUAGCUUGCCACUAGCUAACCAUAGAGAUCAGGAAGUCUGUACAAAUAGGAAGUGAUAUGACUGGGCUGAAACAGGAAGUGAGAUGGAGGGGCAGGAACAGGAAGUGAUAUGGCUGGGCUGAAACAGGAAGUGAGAUGGAGGGGCAGGAACAGGAAGUGAGGUGGCUGGGCAGAGAGACGAUGUGUGAAGAAACAGGAAAGUCGCUGUCUUGUCUGCUGAGAUGCUAAUGAGACCAAUAAAGAACUCCAUUUACACCAGAGGCUGGCUGGUCAGUCUCCAAGGAUACACUGUGUAUACUGCCCAUCACCUGCGAUUGUUUUCAGUCCAAUCUGAACUACAGCCUGGAGAAUCACCUGCCACCACCCCUGCUCCCAGAGCUCAGUCAGAUGCAGACAGUCGGCCCGAAAGGCUGACAUUUAGCAAGUUUGCACUGGUGUGUCUGUGCCAUUUAUUUAAACACGGGAAACACUGUUCUACACAGAAAAUAGUCACUUUCCCCAAGCCUGUUGUUGCCAAGUUAUCUUUGUCACUUCUUUUUCUAUUCCUACGCCACCCCCAAUCUACUGACCAGUGCAGGAUCUCAGCUGUCAAAUGGUUAAACUCAACCCAGCAGGGGCCCCCAAUCUAGAGCUUCCUGGCAUUCUGAUUGGCUGAUAGGUAGUAAGUACCGUAAGUACCAAUAGGUAGGUACUUACGGUAAACUGAUAAUGAAGAUCACAUCUGAUAAUAAACAUAUUUGUGACAAAGCCAUAGUGCAUGGCUGCUCCCUGUACUAGAGGUAGCAACGGGGGGUCAGGGUUGGAUGUCAUGUGUAUGUGCUAAGGGAAAGAGUGGGCCAAAGGGGAGAGUAGAGAGAUGUGGGGGGAAGAAGGAAAGAAUAUUGGAAGAUAAGAAAGUGGGGGGCUUUCCAACAGUGCAUUCAUGCUGAGUCACACACACAAAGACAGUCUUCCUGGGUUGCUUUGGUGGCUUGGGAAUGAGCUAUCGAUCCAACUGAGGUAGAAGGAACCUGCAUUUUGUUCAGGACAUCGAGGCUGGGUAGGAGCAGGGCAGGGCUUGCACCACAGCACAGGGUUGGGGUACUGGGUAG